GUCCACUGGAGAAUAUCCUAACAAUGUGGAAAACUAGUAUCGUUAAUCAUGAGAUCAGCCAGAACUCAGUAUAAAAUUGUCACAUAUAUUAGAAAAAAUAAAUUGAAAAAAGUAUCAAAGAAGCCCUUUGAAAAAGUAACUGCUUGGCAACAAUAAAUAUCAAUGCGGCAAUGUAUCAGAAGUGUGUCUGAUACUCAGUGAUGUAGC